GCAAAUGCUUGCUGCAAACAUCAGUGAUGCUUCCAGGCUCAAAGAUAGCGUGCGCGCGCGCGCGCGCACACACACACACACAUGGCAAGUCCUAAUCACAGAGACCUUGCUGCCCAUCCUCUUAUCUCUUCUUCACAUCCUAACCUCAGCUUCUACUGAUGGUGUGGCCUUUGCUUCUUCCCCUUCCUUAUUGCUUGAAAGUUGCCUGAGGUCCCAUGAUGUGGUGCUGUUUAGGAGAUUAAUUAAAAUGAUCUACUGUACUAUUAACAUUCUCAAAUCUGGAAAGCUAAAGGAGCUGUGCCUGCAGUGCAGUCAGUGCUGACUAAUUAAAGAAAAUACAGUUGUAAAUGGCUAUUGUAAGCAGUUUCCUUUUAAAAAAUACAGCACCAGGGGAGUGUAGUUUAUGGCAAUGGCAGCAUUAUGAGAAUUGAUCAGCCUAAACAAACAGAGGCCGAUAUGUUAAGGGGGAAGUAUUAACUAAACCAACUUUCUCACAACAUUCCAUUUAAAAAGUAAUAAUUUAUCCGUAUUAAUUCUCUUUUAACAAAGGAGCUAUCUUCUGGCUAGAACGGGAAAGGAAUACUGCACUUUCAGGUUGAUAGGAGGGAAGACCCUGAAGCCUAUGGAUUUUCACUGAUGACUCAGCAGACUCUGAAACUGGUCGGCAUAAUUCAGAACACAUCCCACUGGGGUUUCAGGUUUUAUUUCCCAGUAAUACCAAUGAAAUCUAUAAAACUCAGACCUUUUUUGCCUGUUUGGUUGUGAGACUACCCUUCUCGCCUGUCUUUCUGUGGACUGGACCCAAGAUCAUAUCAAUCGGACUAGGCCUGGCCCUGGCCCCAGGGAGAAAGUGCCCUUAGAGGCCUCUUGAGUCUGGAGUAAGGCAAGCCAAAAACCUUGUUUACUCUAAAUACAGACCUCAGAUAUUGUAUGCACUUGUGGUAAUGGUUUUUCUAAUUUUAAGAUUACAUGAACAGUGGCUGACAUCCUGACUAUAUUACUCAAUAGUACUACUCAAGAGUUACUCUAAAGGACUACUACAUUUCAAUAGAACUUCCUCUAGUAAAUUUAGCCUGAAUGACAACCAGUGGUUCUUGUCCAAACAUGUUUCAUUUGUAUUAAUAAAGACAGUUUGGUAUCAAAGAGUUAUAUCAUGAGACUAUUAUACAAAUACAAUGAGAUGGUUUGGCUCAUGAUGCAGGAAGAGGGCAAAGUAUAAAUGCUAGUGAUUUCCCCUUAAUUAUGAUUUUGCACAUUCUUUUUAAUCAUACAAAAGAAAGCAAGUAAACAAGUGAAACCACUUCACUUUUGUUUUUUGGUUUUUUUUUAAUGGAACAUUGACACUACACAAUCUGAACAAACUGCAGGUGCUGAACCACUGAUUUGCGAAAACCAUGGAUUUUUGCAGCAGGGUUUGGUACAGUUUAUUAUUUUUUAAACUGCAAACUAAAAACAGCUAUUUCAUGCACAAUAAUGAGUUUUUGAUGAGAACAAAUGAGAAAGAUGCAUAUAUACAAGGACUGGAAUGAAAUGAGUGGCAGCUGCCACCAUCAAGCUGCUGUGAGGGUUUCAGUAAGACAAACAAAACAAAGGCAACCUCCCCCAUACUCCAGCAUACCCAAACUGCAUUUUUCUGUGUAUUGUAACAGUUCUGUUUACAACCCAUAAAGUUUGGUUGGCAAAGAAUUUUGCCCAACAGAUUUAUAGACAGAGCGUGGGUACUUGGAGGAAGUAAAAGCUGAGGAAGCUGUUUCCCCAAGCACUGGAAUAUGGCACUUCCCGUGUUAUUUCAGUUUCCAUGGUGGAUCUGCCUGUGCUAGAGAGUGGAUUGGUAUAGCCUUGAUUCAGGGACCCCAGAAACAGAAGGUCCCACUGGGGGUGCCAGAAAGGAGUGUUUUAUUUUUGGAUAGUGAAUGUUCUGGAUUAAAGACUCCUGCCCCAUUCUCUUCCUGGCAUCAGCCUCCUAGCUGAGAAGUGUCCACAGCAAAGUAGAGAAGGGGCAGAAAUGGAAAGGACAGAGGUCCUCACUGAUGGUCUUGUCUGGAGCCCCACAAAGAGAUGGAGCUGGCCCUGUGGAUAACUUUGGAACAGUCCAGUUCUAACAGCACCAGAAGACAAUGGCUUAAAAGACCAGAAAACUGAAAUGUUCUGAACUUAAUGGAAACAUCCAGACUCUUACAUGAAGUCCUUAAAAAGCAAUCAGAGGGAGCGUAAAAUGGCGGAAAUGGUUAGAAGUGACUGUUACUUUCUUAGCUAGAGACCAACAGAGAAUGAAAGGAAAACAACAAGAAUGGGAUUCUGCAAACAAACAAGCCAUGAGACACAUAUUUCUACUAUUAUUUUUCUCAUUAUGUUUUCACUUAUCUACUCAAAGAGAAAAAUGAAGUUUUGCUAAAACUUAAAGAAUAUGUGACUAAAAUAAGCAACAGGUUUGGAAGAAAACCUAAGACUGUGUGCACUGACCAUGGCACAGGGAAUAUACUGGAAAAUAUAUUGAACAAUACCUAAAGGAACAAGGAAUUAAGCAUGAGAAAACAGUACCUUAUAUGUCAGAGCAAACGGGGUGAUGGAGAGACAGAACAGAACCCUGAUUGAAAUGUCCAGAAGUAUGCUCCUUGAUUCAGGUCUGGAAAAUAAAUACUGGGGAGAUGCUGCAAUGACUGCAACUUAUUUUCAGAAUGGACUACCCACUAAAACGAAAGCUGCAACACCUUUUAGCUAUGCAAUGGGACAAAACCUAACUUACAACAUAUUAGAGUGUCCGGAUGUAAAGCAUAUGCAUAUGUUCCUAAAGAAAAAAGAGGGAAAUUAGAUUGCAGAAGUGAAGGAGGAAUAUUCAUAGGUUAUGAACUGGGUAGCAAAAGCUACAGAAUACUUGACCACCUUUCAGAAACUGUUAAACUGUGUAGUAUUUCAUAUUUUGAUGAAAGAUCAAGGCCAAAUGCCAAUGCAAUAUCUAACUGUGACUCAGUCUUUCUGAUAAGUGAGGAGGCUAACCAGCAACCACAGCAACAAAAUGAGGAAGUUAUAAUAAGCUACGAUAUAGUAGAGAGAUCUAAUCUAGAAGGAGAGACUGAGAUGGAACCAGAAGUAGACAUAAUAAAGGAGUCCCAUUUAAAUGAUUAUAUUUCGCAGCCAGAGAACAAAAAAUACUAGAACCUACAAAUUGGCAUAAAACUGAAGGAAUGCCUGAUUCAGAAAUAGAUCAAUUGCUAUAAGCAGCAAAGGAGGAGAUUGGAUUACUCCAUAAGAACAAAACAUAUACUCUUGUAGAGCUACCUGAAGGUAGGAAAGCAAUAGGAUGCAAGUGGGUUUUCACAACCAAACAGAUUGCAGAGGGGAUAUCUAGUGACAUAAAGCAAGACUGGUUGCCAAAGGAUAUGCACAAAAAUAUGGAGACAAUUAUGAAGAAUCAUUUGCACCUGUGGUCAAAAAUACAUCUAUUAGACUGCUACUUACUAGUGCUGCAUCAAGAAGAAUGGAAGUACAUCAUCUGGAUGUUAAGACAGCAUUUCUAUAUGAUGAGAUUAAAGAGGACAUAUAUAUGAAACAACCAACUUUUGAACCAGAAAAAAAGCACUUGUCUUUAAACUUCAGAAAAGUAUAUAUGGUAAAAACAAUCUGCCAGAGCAUGAAAUGAAAAAUUAAACCAACUACUUCCAAGAGAAGGAUUCAAGCAAGGGAAAGUUGAUUCCCUGCUUGUAUACAAGGCUCAGAGGGAAGGUGGAUAUACUUCCUCACAUAUGUGGAUGACCUGAUAGUGUCCCAUCAAGAUAAGAGAGAUCAUGAUGAAUUAGUGAGGAGUUUAAAUACAGAAUUGGAAAUUAAAGAUCUGGGAAAGAUCUCCUAUUAUCUUAAAAUUCAAAUAAAAAGAUGAAAAGAUGGAUGUUUUACCUUGAAUCAAAAACAAAGUAUUGUGGACUUAGUAUAGUGUCUUGACUUGACAGAAGCAAAUAAAGUAAACACCCCAAUACAAAUGGGCUUUCUCUAGGAGAAAGAAUGCAGCGAUCCACUAGAAAAUAAUGACAAAUGCAGAAUGGGAGUUGGAAAACUGCUUUCAUGACCAGACAUGGCAGCAGCAGUUGGGAUAUUAUGCAGAAGAGUGAACACACCAACACAUAAAGACUGGACUGCAAUUAAGAGAAUUGGACAAUAUCUAAAAGAUACAGCAAAUUUAGAAUUACUACUAUCAGCUAGUAAAGAACCUAGGUUAAUAGGUUACAUGGCUGAAGACAAGGAAGAUAGAGAAUCAACCAGGAGGAAUGCAUUAUUUUAUGGGGGAGGAGUGAUUUCAUGGAUGACUAGGAAAUAGUCUAUUGUUGCCAUCUCUUCAACUGAGGCAGAAUUUAUAUCAGCAGCACACAGGCUUGCCAAGAAAUUGUGUGUGUGUGUGUGUGUGUGUGUGUGUGUGUGUGUGUGUGUGUAGGUAUAUGUAUAUGUGUAUGUGUAUGUGUACGUGUAUGUGUAUGUGUGUGUGUGUGUGUGUGUGUAUACAGGUGAAACUCGGAAAAUUAGAAU